GACGAACGCUGGCGGUGUGCUUAACACAUGCAAGUCGAACGGUAAGGCCCUUUCGGGGGUACACGAGUGGCGAACGGGUGAGUAACACGUGAGUAACCUGCCCUCAUCUCUGGGAUAACAGUCGGAAACGGUUGCUAAUACUGGAUAUGAGCUUGCAAGGCAUCUUGUGGGUUGGAAAGAUUUUUUUGGUUGGGGAUGGACUCGCGGCCUAUCAGCUUGUUGGUGAGGUAGUGGCUCACCAAGGCUUCGACGGGUAGCCGGCCUGAGAGGGCGACCGGCCACAUUGGGACUGAGAUACGGCCCAAACUCCUACGGGAGGCAGCAGUGGGGAAUAUUGCACAAUGGACGGAAGUCUGAUGCAGCAACGCCGCGUGCGGGAUGACGGCCUUCGGGUUGUAAACCGCUUUCAAUUGUGACGAAGCUUUUUGUGACGGUAGCAGUAGAAGAAACACCGGCUAACUACGU
rnacentral:rRNA from 1 species